rnacentral:Y_RNA from 1 species
GGCGGGUCCGAGUGCGAUGGUGUUUGCAACUAAUCGAUUACAGCCAGAGAUUUCUUUCUUUUCCACUCCCACUGUUUUCACAUGACUAGCUUUAA